rnacentral:rRNA from 1 species
CGGACGGGUGAGUAAUGUCUGGGAAACUGCCUGAUGAGGGGGGAUAACUACUGGAAACGGUAGCUAAUACCGCAUAACGUCGCAAGACCAAAGAGGGGGACCUUCGGGCCUCUUGCCAUCGGAUGUGCCCAGAUGGGAUUAGCUAGUAGGUGGGGUAACGGCUCACCUAGGCGACGAUCCCUAGCUGGUCUGAGAGGAUGACCAGCCACACUGGAACUGAGACACGGUCCAG